ACACAGCAGACAGAUUGACAGCUGUUUCUCAAUUCUGUGGGUGGUAGUGCAUGGCCAUUCUUAGUUGGUGGAGCAAUUUGUCUGGUUAAUUCCGAUAACGAACGAGACUCUGGCAUGCUAACUAGUUAUGUGACCCCAGAGGCGUCCAACUUCUUAGAGGGACAAGUGGCACAGACAAUCCAGGAAGUUUUUGGAGAGUGUUGGGGACAACUUCCUGAU
rnacentral:ncRNA from 1 species